rnacentral:rRNA from 1 species
UACGUAGGUGGCGAGCGUUAAUCGGAAUAACUGGGCGUAAAGCGCACGCAGGCGGUUGGAUAAGUCAGAUGUGAAAGCCCCGGGCUCAGCCUGGGAACUGCAUUUCGAACUGUCCGACUAGAGUCUUGUAGAGGGGGGUAGAAUUCCAGGUGUAGCGGUGAAAUGCGUAGAGAUCUGGAGGAAUACCGGUGGCGAAGGCGGAUUACUGGACGACAACUGACGGUGAGGCGCGAAAGCUAGGGGAGCGAAC